UCCCUGGUGGCUCAGAGGUUAAAGCAUCUGCCUGCAAUGUGGGAGACCCGGGUUUGAUCCCUGGGUGGGGAA
rnacentral:tRNA from 1 species